UGUGAGUUUGAUCAUGGCUCAGGAUGAACGCUGGCGGCGUGCUUAACACAUGCAAGUCGAACGAUGAUGCCCACUUGUGGGUGGAUUAGUGGCGAACGGGUGAGUAACACGUGAGUAACCUGCCCUUGACUCUGGGAUAAGCCUGGGAAACUGGGUCUAAUACCGGAUAUGACCUUCCAUCGCAUGGUGGUUGGUGGAAAGCUUUUGUGGUUUUGGAUGGACUCGCGGCCUAUCAGCUUGUUGGUGGGGUAAUGGCCUACCAAGGCGACGACGGGUAGCCGGCCUGAGAGGGUGACCGGCCACACUGGGACUGAGACACGGCCCAGACUCCUACGGGAGGCAGCAGUGGGGAAUAUUGCACAAUGGGCGCAAGCCUGAUGCAGCGACGCCGCGUGAGGGAUGACGGCCUUCGGGUUGUAAACCUCUUUCAGUAGGGAAGAAGCGAAAGUGACGGUACCUGCAGAAGAAGCCCCGGGAAAG
rnacentral:rRNA from 1 species